rnacentral:lncRNA from 1 species
AGGAGGUACCUCUGGAUCAACUGUGAUACGAGUAGAGGUAGGAACUGUCGAUGCAGAUUCUGACUCUGUCACAACUGCGGUAGUAGUAGUGGGAAGCACAGAAGGCACUGCUGAAACUGGAACCCAUUGCUUCUUUGGCUCCACAAACGUCACCUUGCCCUUAUCCUUAUCAGUCCUAGUAAUAGGGGGCCGAACAGGGGGGUGCACAACAACUGCAGGAGGAGGAGGAGGAGGAACCGUAGUACACUGAUCAUAAGAAUGACCCAAGUGUUUACAAGAGAAGCAAAAAAUCGGCCGCUUCUCAUAGAUAACUGUCUGCCAGAAGCCACGGUUACCAGCACGCUCAAUCCAAACCCUGUCGGGCAACUUAUGCCCCAAGUUCACCUCAAUGCACACCCUUGCCUCACUAGGUCGUCUCAAGUCGGUGGUGGCCUCAUCAAUUCUCAAGGGCAUUCCUAUUGCCCCAGAUAAAGCGAAAAGGAACCCUUUCGCACGUAAAUGUACUGGAAGCAGAGGGAACGAUACCCAUACGGGAACUAUCGGAGUCUCUUGCUCAGGUGUAAAGUCACAUGUCCACUUAAGGACUCUCAUCAGACAACCAUCAAUAUACCAUGAAGGUUUAAGAAAAAGCCUGCUGUAAUCCUCUUCAUGUGUAAGGUGUAUAAGAAUGUGUGUUGUGUCAAUCAAUCCCACCUCGAAACAACCAUGGAACCCAAACUUAGAAAAAUUCUCACGUACCUUCCUCAUGGUUGGCUUGCGAUGUGGAAAUUUCCCCACAAGUGUAUACUUGUAAGGAUCAGCGAGUGUAGCCUCCUCGGACUCAGUCAAAACUAUUGCCGGCUCACCCAUAUGUAUAAAGGGUUCUUUAGCAGCAAACCCAGCAGUGGAAGAGUCAUCUAUACCCUGUAUAACCGAUGCAAACGACUUUCGUGAACUCCGUUCAGCUUGAGACAGGCCCGGACGGCCAGAAACUACAGUAGCAUAGGUCUUUCGGCCCUGAUUGAGCACUGUCUGGGCCUCAUGUGGAAAAACCGAUGAUGGAAUUGGGUCCGUAACAAAAUUCCCCACAUUCUGGUGAAGUGUCACCGGCGCGUGACCACCACGCGCCGGCCGUUGACCGGCGGCGAUUUUCCAACGGUGUCAGAAAAUUAUGAUUUUUCACAGGCAGAUGCGGAAUUUGAUGCUGAUCAUCACGGUAUGUUCCGUUUUCCGAAAUGAGUUCAGGAUUGGCCGGAAUCUGCGAUUUUCCGAGUGACUGGCCGGAACUUGCGAUCGCCGGUAAGGGCGCGUCCGGCGUCAGAAUUGGAUGAUUUUUUAGUCGAAGGUUCGCCUUUUCAUGGGUAAUCUGAUGGUCAGGCGCGUGUCCCUGUUUGAGCUCUGUGGAAGGGUUAAUUGAAAAAUCAGUUUUCGGCCCCUCGGGAUUCGAUCUGUCAAUUUCGGGCGAUUUGGACGAAAUCUCUACCACCCCCAGGGUUUUCGGCCCUUCUGGAAUCAUUGGUGAUGGUCCCAUAUCCAAAUUCUGAUCAGAAGUGGGUGUUUCGACGACCUUGGGAUUCGUGCCAUGAUUUUUCAAACUCAGAUCUAUU